rnacentral:ncRNA from 1 species
UCUCUUCAGGGCGGGGUGUAAGUCCCCACCGGUGGUAAAGCCCACGAACUGCAGGUUUUUCCUGUGGUAGGUCUGGUGAAAUUCCAGAGCCGACGGUAUAGUCCGGAUGAAAGAAGAG